CUUUGAUCUCGAUCUUCUGAAAUUUGAGCUCAAGAAUUUUUCUCUUCAUUGCGUAUCGAAUCUCAUGUGAUUUCGUUUGUUCAUGCGAAUUGGAAUCUGCAGAUUCUAGUUUAAGAUUAAUGGAAGUUUUGUAAAAUGAACAGCAGAAGAAAAGUAUGGAUCAGAAUUUUAUGUUUCCAAUCUGGAGGUUUUGUGUUUGUCUAUUAGGGACCUUUGUGGCAUGUUCUCGGAAGGUCAGACAAGAAGAGACGAAGUUUUGUGCUCAUAUUGCAUGGUUUAGAGUUCUCAAAUGCCCAACGACAAUGGUGAGUGAUUAUGGCUUUAAAAGAAGAAUCACAGCUGAAAUUCCUGACAUAUGCAGUUGAGAAAGCUGUAAUCACAGAUCAUCUAGUUGACAACAUUGCGGCCCCCAUUCACAAGCCAAAUGAGACUCCCAUUGUCGCCAGGUUGAAUCUUGUUCACAAACACAAUUAUUUUCACUUUGCUUUUCAAUAUGCCAUUGAUCAAUAGCUUGCAAUUAUAUAUCCAUGGCAAAUCAUUGAUAUCCUUGCCACUUUUUUAUGCCUCCUAAAAUAUAAGCAAUAUCAUAUUGGAUUCAUAAGGAUGUCUGUUCAGUAUACUAAUGUCAUUUUCUUUAUUUUUGA